rnacentral:rRNA from 1 species
GGUAUAGACCCGAAACCCGGUGAUCUAGCCAUGGGCAGGUUGAAGGUUGGGUAACACUAACUGGAGGACCGAACCGACUAAUGUUGAAAAAUUAGCGGAUGACUUGUGGCUGGGGGUGAAAGGCCAAUCAAACCGGGAGAUAGCUGGUUCUCCCCGAAAGCUAUUUAGGUAGCGCCUCGUGAAUUCAUCUCCGGGGGUAGAGCACUGUUUCGGCAAGGGGGUCAUCCCGACUUACCAACCCGAUGCAAACUGCGAAUACCGGAGAAUGUUAUCACGGGAGACACACGGCGGGUGCUAACGUCCGUCGUGAAGAGGGAAACAACCCAGACCGCCAGCUAAGGUCCCAAAGUCAUGGUUAAGUGGGAAACGAUGUGGGAAGGCCCAGACAGCCAGGAUGUUGGCUUAGAAGCAGCCAUCAUUUAAAGAAAGCGUAAUAGCUCACUGGUCGAGUCGGCCUGCGCGGAAGAUGUAACGGGGCUAAACCAUG